CCGGCACGGGUGAGUAACACGUAUGCAAUCCACCUGUAACAGGGGGAUAACCCGGAGAAAUCCGGACUAAUACCCCAUAAUAUGGGCGCUCCGCAUGGAGAGUUCAUUAAAGAGAGCAAUUUUGGUUACAGACGAGCAUGCGCUCCAUUAGCCAGUUGGCGGGGUAACGGCCCACCAAGGCGACGAUGGAUAGGGGCUCUGAGAGGAAGGUCCCCCACAUUGGAACUGAGACACGGUCCAA
rnacentral:rRNA from 1 species